GGGGUUGUGGUUCAGUGGUAGAGCGCUCGCCUGGCAUGCACAAGGCACUGGGUUCGAUCCUCAGCACCACCU
rnacentral:tRNA from 1 species